rnacentral:rRNA from 1 species
GACGAACGCUGGCGGCGUGCCUAAUACAUGCAAGUAGAACGCUGAAGAGAGGAGCUUGCUCUUCUUGGAUGAGUUGCGAACGGGUGAGUAACGCGUAGGUAACCUGCCUGGUAGCGGGGGAUAACUAUUGGAAACGAUAGCUAAUACCGCAUGAUAUUAAUUGUCGCAUGAUAAUUAAUUGAAAGAUGCAAUUGCAUCACUACCAGAUGGACCUGUGUUGUAUUAGCUAGUUGGUGAGGUAACGGCUCACCAAGGCGACGAUACAUAGCCGACCUGAGAGGGUGAUCGGCCACACUGGGACUGAGACACGGCCCAGACUCCUACGGGAGGCAGCAGUAGGGAAUCUUCGGCAAUGGGGGGAACCCUGACCGAGCAACGCCGCGUGAGUGAAGAAGGUUUUCGGAUCGUAAAGCUCUGUUGUAAGAGAAGAACGGGUGUGAGAGUGGAAAGUUCACACUGUGA